CAAACCUGAUUCAGAUGUGGUCUUGGUUCUUGACAGGUUAAAACUUUCAGCCCUGAAGAAUUGCAGCGUCUGUCAAAAUGUUGGCGUUGUUGCACCAACGAUCGUUCCUCUGAAUUCACUGCUAUACCUUCUUUUUUUGUUUCUCUCCUUUUUGAUAGCCUUCCCAAUAAUGCGUUCAUUUCUUGCACCUUGGCCGGUGGGAUAUGUUUUUGCAUGAUGUCUACGUGGGGCGGGAAAUGAACUCGAUCGUUUCUAUAUGCAUAGAUAUAUUUCCUUUGCCCCUCGGAUUUUCAAUUAACUCUUAACAGAUCUGUUUCUUGUCUUAAGCUGCCCUCGGUUGCUACCAUUUGAUUGCUCCUAGCUCUUUCUCUAAUUGUAGAUAGAAUUAUCCAACUUAGCAUGGAUAUGUAAGUGCUAAAUGCUGAGCUCAACUUGGACUCGAGUACACUAUUUAUUGUUCAUUUGGGCAUUCUGAUUCUGCUCUUUGUUUAAUCUUCUUUGGUGAAUUCUUCAACUGGAUUACGGCCUUAUGCUAUGCCUUUUCGUGUGGUUUCAGUCUGAGAUUCCUGCAUCUUAUCUUGAAUUUGUGGAAAUCUUAGCUUAGAGCAAAGGUUUUUUAUGCUAGCUUCUGUAUAUUCCAUAAAGAUUUGGGGGGAAUUGCCCUGUCAUUGGCAUGUUCUUUAGGGUCAUUUCCACUGGCAUCUAAUUUGAAACUUGAAACAUUGUUCGUUGAACAUUGUAUGCCGUAAAUCGACGAUUAUGGGCUAACUAUCUAUGACUGAAAAUUAUGCCUACUUCUUGAAAAUGAUCUUGUUGUUAGUGCAGCUUUACGCAUGAGCUAGUUUCUUAUCACUGUUGUGUGUAUUUCACUUUCCGUGAAUUGUUCUGAUCCUAUUUCUCUGCUAGAGGCGAUCACAAAGUUCCGUUCGGAGGGUAUUGCAGAGUAUGCUUUUGAGUAUGCCUACCUCAACAACAGGAAGAAAAUUGCAGCGGUGCAUAAGGCUAACAUCAUGAAACCUGCAGAUUGUUUGUUCUUGCUAUCUUGUCGCGAGGUUGCUAAAAAGUAUCCUUGUCGAUAACUGCUGUAUGCAACUUGUAGCGAAACCAGAGCAAUAUGGCGCCAUGGUUCCUGAGGUUCUGGCUUCGAGAUUGGGAAAAUAAUUGGGAAGACAUCUCAGCUAAGCAUAUCAACACCUUUUGAGCUUCUCUAUCUUGAGAUCCAGCUCUCAGGUCUGAUUUAAUUCUUGGCAGUUUUCCAAAGUGGAAGGCAAAACACACAUAAGAGGAAAACAGAAUUGGAGUCCCCUCAUGUCGUCAAAUGAGAACUAUCUCCAGUUAAUGGGACACUGAAGCAGGAAGCAGUAAGUGAAGUUAAAACAGGCUUAUUAAACCAUGUCGAAGUGAAAUGGUCUAUAAGCUCCCAACACAGACAAAGCUUGCAACAUGAUGAGUUAAAGGCAGCCGACCAUGCUAAGGAGUUAAAGAAAAGCAUGUGGAUAAAUUGGAGAAGCACCUGAAAACAUAGUUUCAUGUUUUACUAGUUUCAGCUUUUAGGUAGCUUAGAGUUUGUCGUGAGGUUAAAGGAUAAAACUACAGAAACAUUUCUUCCUCUAUUGUCUUGUGUUGACUCGAUUAAUUCAAUCUUUCCUCAUUAUUGUA